AGGGGGCGGGCACUCAGUCCACAUGGAGGGGGCCGGCACUCCGCCCACAUGGAGGGGGCGGAUACUCAUGCUGCGUUCGAGUAUUCUCUGCGAACCGACUCGGAUCUCGGAUCUGACGCCACGCCCGUCCACAUCGAGGGGGCGGCCACUCAGUUCACAUUGAGGACUGGUCAAACAGCAUGUGCAGCAUCUGAUCCCGUUUCUGACCUGAAAUUAGCUGAAAUGUACCUGAAAUUACCUGAAAUUAGAGUGUGCCCGCCCGAGCUAGUGAUGCCUAAAACAUGCAAAGACACGUCAGUGUAAUUGUGAAUGGCGAGAGCCCUGAAAUACAGCUGGACAGCAGCGGUCUACAUCACUGCCCCUUCUGCAGAUACAAAGGGUCAAAAUGUGAUAUCGACCAUCACAUUAAAUGCCAUGCCUCGGUUAAAUACAGAGGUCUGCAGAGGAGCUUUCAGGAAGCAGGAAGAGAAGACGGGAGGAAAAAAAAGCUACAGGAUAAAGAUCUCUGCACAAAAAGGGCUAGAGUUGCUCCAACAGCAUCCAGCUCUGAAGGAUCAGGUCAUGUAUAGACUGUUAAUCCAGACAAAACUGAAGACCAGGAACUGGAACCUGGGAACCUGGAAGAUUAUGUUGUCCUGAAG